GAAAAAAAACCAGAACUCGCACGCACGAGCGAGACUGCCCUCUCGAUCCCCUCGACCUACGAUCUGUGACUGCAGACGCACCAGAUCGCCGCCGCGGACCUGGCAGGGAAGACGCGGACGAGAUCCCAAGCCGCUGCUCCUCCUCUCCCGGGAUGCAGCCGCCGCCGCCGAACCAGGGAGACGCCGGCGACCGUCUCCGCCGUCGUGGAUCACCAGGACGCCGCCGCCUGCACCGCCACCACCGCACCACCACCACCGCGCCUCAAUCCCACAGCCGCUGGCCUCCUCCUCCUGUAGCGCCGCCGCUCCAGCCCCUCACCUUCUCAGCCUGGAUCCGUGCGACAAGGUGUGGGGCUAUGGGAGAGAAGGCUCCAUAUCGCGCGACAAGGUGAGGGGGCGCCCAGAUCCGCAGCGGCACCACCGCGCCCUCGUCCACCUGGCCCUCGAGGUCGGCCAUGGAGGUCCGGCCCGACCAAUGGAUGGAUGGGGAUGAAACCCUAGCCCAACACCCACCCAUGGAUGGAUGGGGAUGGGGCGGCGGCUGCGGCCUUCUCUCGGUGCUUGCUGGUGUGGUGGACAUCGACGUCGGUGACGGGUUGCAGCACGUAGACAUCAAAGGUACUGACACCCUCCAUCCUCAAGGUUUCUUCCCCUCGCGAUGUUGCUUUGUAGGUGGCCAGGAUCUCCGCGGUCGGCAUCGGCGUCGGCGUGGUCUACGGCUCUGUCAGGCUCGACAUCCUCAAGGUAACGCUCCAAAUCCCCCAACCCCACGCUCCAAAUCAUUCUCAUUUUUGCACACGGGAAAUAUUCAGGGAAGGCACUUUAGAUGCAAAAUACUGAGAUGCUUUCUGCUUGAAAACUAUAGUCAAAAGUUGAUUCACAGAAGUUCAGAAGUUCAGUCCAGAUGCCAAGGCAUGCUUAGCAUCUCAUAGUCAGAGGCUAUCCCGUCUCAACAUUGCACCUAUGCAGGUUUUCAAUUUAGGAGAUGAUUUGCACCUAUCCAUUUACUCUAAUGUAUUACAUGCUAAUCCUUUUGGAGGCAAGAACGGAAGAAAAAUCUGGUGAUGUCUCCACGAGUCAAGUUAUAUAGCCGUUUCUGACUUGAAGGAAUAUUUGUGGAAUUUCAAUCAUUAGGAAGUUAGAGGGCAUCUGCAGCUUGGCAAAGUAGAUGUUGUUGACAUCAAUUAUUAAUUGUUAUUUUAUAAUGUUCCAUCAUUUUGUUUUUACACUUUUUUGCAGGCACUAGCAAUGUUUUACCAUUGACAGAGCAUUGUGAAUAUGGUAACAGACUACUUGGGUGUUCUGAAAUCGAAUUCUGUAUAUAAUAUAAGUAUAGUCCAUGACAUGUGCUGCUGCUUCCGAUUAGAUACAAUAGCUUCUCUCUUUUGUAUCGUACAACUGAGAUCUUCAUUACAUUACAACCUUAUGUUUUGCUUUUUUUUAAUUGAAAUUGGUGUUCUCUCUCUAGGUUAAUGGAUCAUCCUGGGAAUGGACUAUGGAAUGGCAAACUAACAGGGCACAUCGCACAACUGGGUAUUGUCAAUCUACUUACAGACCACUUGCGUUGGGCAAGAGGGUUCUGCUGUGGAGACCAAGAAAAAGGAUGGGAACAUUGGGGACGCCUCAGCUGCCAUCGAUGAACGCAACUCGGAACAGGCAAAGCUCCACGCGAGGCUCCCCUGGCUGCCGAGCAUCUCUGAGAAGCCCAAAAUGAUAUGAGAUGAUGUCAUGGUGAUCGAUAGUGCCACGCAGGUUAUGCCGGAGACCAUCAUGUUCCCUGUCAAGUUCUUCCAGUUCUUCACCGAGAUUCUGCCAGCAGCAAGCGAGGUCAUCUCCUUCUUAGACCAGUACUAAGGACCGCCGUUAUGUGGAUCCAUUUUACAUGCAAAUGUCGAGCCCAUCAUAUCGUGUUCGACCCAUGAACUGGAAGGAUAUAUUGCUUGCCAUUAUGUGGUUGUUGGUCAGGCCAGCUGAGGAGAGGCACCAAAUUAAGAAGAGAGAGACAUCAAAGAUGGAGCUCUGUUUAGCUUCUCGCUCAUCAGACCUUACCCGGCAGAGCUGCUUGAGGGGCUUGCUGCCAUGCGGUUUUGCUCAAAAUAGCUAGAGCACACACGUGAUAGGGUUGCUUUGGUUUACAGGGAGGAGAGGCUGAGGCUGAUGCUUCUAGAGUUGGUGUACGUUGCGUAGAGAGAGUUUACGUAAAGAGUUUCGGGGGAGCAAAGCAGAAAGGAGUUCAGUGCGAAGGAGAAUAGGAGGGAGGAGAGAUUUUUUUGUGCGUUAGAUGGAUUGACAAGUACCAAAAUUUGAUGCAAGCAGAACUGAAACCUGUCCAUGGAUUACCUUCAGUCCCACAUUCCAAUCAACAACAUUGGGCCGAGCGAGCGCGCGGGUGUCGCAAGAGGCAAUGGGCAGCCGGUGGAGACUGAGUGGUGAGCGGCGGUGGCGAGGUCGAGCGGUUGGCACCAGCGGCGAGUAGGCAAUUACCGUGAUGGGCGAGCGGAUGGGGCGAGUAGGUGUCACGAUUGCAUCACAAUUGGAAUAAAGUAAACAAUGCAUACGUGUGGCCAUUAACUGAUUUUGUAUGUUGUGUGCUUGGGUUAACAACCAGCCAAAUCAAUCAGCCAAGGGCCAUUAUGUACGUGAGUGUGUUAGCGGUGGGUAUAUCUGAAGAUUAUUUCUCAACUCGGCAUGUGGGUAGAGACUAAAAAGACGAUGCCAUGGUAGCAUGGCAGACCUGGCAAGUGCCACGAACAUC